rnacentral:rRNA from 1 species
GACGUAGGGUGCGAGCGUUGUCCGGAUUUAUUGGGCGUAAAGAGCUCGUAGGCGGCUUGUCGCGUCGACCGUGAAAACUUGGGGCUCAACCCCAAGCCUGCGGUCGAUACGGGCAGGCUAGAGUUCGGUAGGGGAGACUGGAAUUCCUGGUGUAGCGGUGAAAUGCGCAGAUAUCAGGAGGAGCACCGAUGGCGAAGGCAGGUCUCUGGGCCACUACUGACGCUGAGAAGCGAAAGCAUGGGGAGCGAACAGG